CCUCUCUGCCUCCUCUCAGUUCUCCACACCCACACACUUCAGUACCUUAUCCCUUCCAUUGUCUCCGCACCGCUCUCAGAAAAAAAGCCACCGCAUCCUCGGUGCUCCCGGCGGCUACGGCGAAGGAGUCCCUGGGCAUGCUGCUGCUGCGCCGACGCCUUCGCCAUCCGCACCGUCGUGGGCAAUGCCAAAUACAACGCCGAUGCCGCAUAUACGCGCGCGCGCCGGUCGCCGCCGCGGCCUCGGUGCGCCCGACCACGGAGGAGGGGGAGGAGCAGGCGCAGUGGCGAAGGAGCCGGCAGCGUAGACGGAGGGAGAGGAGUAGCGCGAGGGGCGCGGACGGAGGGGUCGCCGGGGACGUUUGGCGCGCCACCACACAACGGUCCCGGGCCGCCGCCGGGAGGCAGAGAGGCGACAAGGUUUGUGCUGGCUGCCCUGCUUCUCCUUGUUACUGGUGGAUUUUCUGAUGUGCAGAUGGCUAGUUUGCGUCCAUCAGUGCUAAAACUUUGAACGAAUCUUGUUCUUCUUCGGAAAUCCAACUGAAUUUCCAUCUCGUUCUGAAUUGAGUUCUGAUUGCCGGGUGACAGAGGUGAGAGGAUAACCGAACAGCGGGCUCGCAGGGUCACUAUGCGAGAGCACAUAUCCUCGCAUAGCAGCUUACAUGUAGCCCUAUAAAAUCAAAUUCAGCCCCAUGUUACCUGAUUUCCUGUUAAUGGAUUUUACUGCUUUUCUGUUUUGGACCCUGUGUAACUUGUUGUAUUUCUGGAGCAGUGCAGCGAGGAGGAGGCUAUGAAGUACGUCCAAUACUUUAACCUACAGCCAUCUAAUAUGCAAAUUUAAUAAUAGAAGAAGAUAACCUCAUUUAUAUACUGGAAAAUGAAAAACAUAAAAAGUAUAAGAUGACCCAAUUACUCUUUUAUGUGCACCUUGUGUGCGUAGACACUGGACUACAAUUGUAGCAACAAAGAGUAUAUCAAUUUAUCAGGUAAUAGAAAUAGUGCUACUUUUUUGGAUGCAGUCACAAAGACAAGACUUUUUUUUGUGAUUAGAGAGGGUGCUUUCUUACUUGCUGAUCACUGAAUGCGUGAGUAAUCAUUAUUAUGUUGGAUUGGUAGAUGUUGUUUGAUGCCAUAAAAAUGCUCUGUACCUGAAUCAACUAUAGAGUGCCCAAAGAAAGAAGAAAUAAACACUUUCGAUAAUUUAGCACCAUUAAAAAAUCGAUGAACUAACCUUUUUUUUAAAGACACUUCUGGGAUAUGUAGGUUGACCAUUGUACUGAGUUGGGGGUUCUCAAACAGUUUGACAUUUGUGUGUCAUUUGUCUUGAAAUUCUUUGCAUCUGGUACGCAUCAUUUGUGUGCAACCAAUUGGACUCAUCAUCUUCAUAAAUAUUCUCUUUUUCAUCGAGGAUGUCUCUGUUGAAAUGCAUGGAAUUUGGUACUGCACCACCUGCACAUGUUAUGUUCUGCAGUUGUGUGGCUACCAAUUGUCCGGUAGCUGGCACUUGCGACACAAUGUUACUGCCAUCGAGGACGGCAGCAAUAUGCUUAUUUUGCUUGCGGGUUUGGCGUUGUCGCUUUAAUAUUUCCUCUCUAUUUUGUGCAUACCGCUCCCUUUCCAUCCGAUUCUUAAUCUCAUUACGGUCUGAAUAUAUGAACAAUAGAUCAUUAUAUAGUAAUACAACUGGGCCGUAUAUCAUGAAGUUGAUCAUCGUUACCUUGUGAUACAGCCAACUGUGUGUGUGCUCUGUUAUUUAGGCCAUUGAUCUUGGCAGCGGCAAUUUUUUUCUGUUUGUAGGCCUCAUGCCGUCUCUUAUUAAUCUCAUCCCUAUUUUGUGCAUAUUGCUCUCUAUCCAUCUGCCUUUUUAUUUCUUUAGGGUCUGCAAAUCAUGACACAAUUCAGCAGUUGAGCAACAAUCGAGGGACUGGGUUAUGAUCAUUACCUGUUGGGAGUGCUCGGUGAGGCUUUUAGGUGAGGUCAGUACCAUGUGCAUUUGCCAAGGCUUCAUGGUAUGAUUUCAGGUUUAGGUCAGAAAAGCAACAGGAUCAAUCAAAUGGAUCACACUGGCAACAUGUUGGCAAAUAAGCAUGCACCUGCGGAGCAGUUCAUCGGCGCUGUGACUUCGUCGUAUGCGCAGUGCGGCGAUGGCGCGGGACAGUCUGGGUGGCGGCGGCGUGUAAAAGCCUCACAAAGUUCAGACAGUCUGGGCGGCACCUUUGUUGGCGAAGAGCUCAGACGUGAAUGACGCGGGGCAGGUCAGCUCGUCGCACCCGUCGUCGGGUCCCUCGCCGGCUGGGCAGGGCAGCGAUGGCGCAGGUCAACCUGGACGCCUGGAUGGGAACAAAGUUUAGACAGUCUGGGCGGUACCUGUAUUGACGAAGAGCUCGUCGUUGUGGCCGUCGUCUGGUGCCUUGCCGUCUACGCAGGGCAGCGAUGGCGCAGGUAAACCUGGAUGCCUGGACGGCAAUAGAGUUCAGCUAGUCUCGGCGCGGCACCUGUGUCGGCAAAGAGCUCGUCGUCGCCGCCGUGGUCGGGUGCCUCGUCGGCUGUCCAGGGCAGCGAUGUCGCGGGUUAACCUGGACGCCUGGAUGGCAACGCGGAACGGCGGCGGCGGCGGGGGAAAAUAAAUUGGUUGCCGCUAAUUUAGCAACUUUCUUUCUGUAUUGUUGAACAAUUCAUGCGGAACGAACGUUUGGUUUCCCUUUUGCGAUUGU